GAGCACAGAGUUAUUUUUGAACAUUUCAAAUACAGCUUUGACUUUUGAUGAUUUAGAUCAAAUGUCCACUGUCCUAAACUGAAGUUUGAGUCUCUUAGGAUUUGGUACAGUGUCUCUCUUCUCACCUCCACUAUAAGUGAACAUUUAUUAAUAACCAAAACUUUUAUAUUAAAGUUAGGGAAUUAAAAAGAAAACAACUCACAAAAGGAGAUCUCAUGGGAGGUGGGAGGAAGAGGAUAGACCUGAGAACAGAUGCCUCACCAGGCAACAUGAAGGUCCCUGAUGAGACUGAAAGUGAUUACAGAUUAGGUGAGGUGAGGAAAAGCUGAAGCUAUGCUUGUCUGACUCCUGGCUUUCAGGUGGGCUAGUCCCACUUGAAAUCUCAGUUUUGGGAAAACAAAAAUAUGGUUCUGUGUAAUAUCUUUAUUUGUGAUAAAGCAACAAAGUUUUCUAUGGUGACUCCUCUCUUCGUUCUAUACAUAUUUAUAAAACCACUGCUGUGCUUUCUCCUUAGGGAUUGUCAGUUGCCUCACUCCUGGCUCUUGCCUUUCCUGGGUCUCUCCCACUGAGCUGAUCUGAGUACUGCCUUCAUGUGAAGCUGAUGUCUGCUCCCGCCUUAGAUCAGCUUCCCCGGGGGCUAAUUCAAUAAAAGUCUACAGCUUCCUAUUAUGAUCAUUUUUCUUUCUUUUUUCUUUCUGGUGAAGAAUAACAGGCAUAUAAGUAGUCUACAAUUACCUGUGAAAGAUUUUAACCAAACUAUGUCCACAAGAUUUUUCUUUGUUUGCUCAUUAGACUACAUUUCUUUCUUCUUGGUGUUUGUGGGAUAGAAACCACUGGCAAAGAAUGCCUUGUGUUUCCCUCUUAUUCAAUACUGCACAGGAAGGAAGAGAAACGUAAUAGUAGGUCAUACUUACUAUUGUUAUUCAUUCUGAUUCUAAUAAAAAUAUUUUUAUUUGUUAAUGAGGUAGAAAUGUACUAAUUGAAUGAAUGUCAUUUUUAGAUACAUAAGAAUAUCUGGUGGAAAUUUCAAGGUCAUGCAGUGUCAUCUUGUUGCACAAGACAACUCUAGGAGGCACCAUACACAUUUUAUACUAUGUGAAGGCCACUCUCAGCACCUCUCAAGUGGAUGGCAUUCACACAGGAUCUUGUACAAACACUCUUUCUCUGUGUUACUCUAAACUACAGUUGAUAUUAUGGCCAGAGAUUGAACGACAUUGGUUAAAGGAACAGGUUAUAGCCUUGGUUAGAAUACUAACUAGCUGACACCUAUAGAACGUAUUGUCUGGGAUAAGUUACCUGAUGUUUCUAAACUUCUCUCCUCUAAUUGUAACAAAGAUGAAUAAUAUUGUUUUCCUCAUAAGAUCUUUGUGAAGAUCAAAUGAUAUAAUUGAUGGAGGUAGUCUUAUUAAAAUCAACAUAUUACCUAAACAUAAACUAAAUUCCAACAUCAUCAAGAAAGAGAAAUCUUGAGAAUGGGUACAUGCUUUUCCUUCUUGUUGUUAUUGUUGAUCCCUGAAAAAUAUUUUGACAUUAUUACUUAUUUCAUGACCCUAUAUGAAUAAUUAGUUGUUUGCCAUUUUGAAAAUACAGUGGACACAAAAGCACCCUCAUCCUGUUCUCAAGAGAUAACCAUCCCUGAGCUUUAUUUCAUUCCUGGCAAUCCCAUCUUUUAGAACUAGUUGUGGAUUUGAGUUUUGUUCUAAUUAAUUGGCAUUAAUGUGCCUUGAGAUUGUUAUAGAAUAAAAGAGUAUGCCAUGUUCUCAAAUCUCACCUAUGGAAGCAAUAGAAUUUGUUAGCUAAGAGCAAAAUUUUGGUGUUGGCCUGGCAGGAUUUGAAUCCUGGUUCUCCCAUUACAAAUUAUGUGAAUUCAGGCAAAUCAUUUAAUCUUAAAGUAUCUUAGUUUCUUCAUCUAUAAAAUGUUGAAAAUAGUAUGUAUUAUAUUGCUAUAAGCCUUAAAUUCUUUAUAUGUAUUAUCUCAUGUGUAAUUACUUACUUUAUACAAUAUAUUUCUGUAUAGCAUGGCAGAACUUCUGCUAGUGCAAUACAGGGAUUUCCUAAUCUGAACUGAACUCUGUUUUAUUAGGAUUUAGUUCAAGUUGAUUGCAAUUAAGCAAGGUACUGUCAAUCAACAUGAAUAACAACAAAAAUAACCAGAAGAGUGUCUGACACAUAAGAAACAGUAAACAAAUAUUUGGCCAUCCCUUUCUCCUGUCCUGUGUGCUUUCUGACAUACUCAUCAUCACCUACAGCUUUCCAAGACUACCUGGGAUGGCACAGGGCCUGGAGCCAGAACUCCCUCCCUGGGUGGCUGGGCAGAAAGGAUGGAAGUCAAACUGCCUCAUCAUGCAACCUGCUAUUGGGAUGGAAGUUCCCAGUGGUAUGAUAAGAAUCAGGAAAGCAAACAUACUAGUCAACAAUGACUAGGUCCAAUUCUGCCACCAUGCUUUCUAUACAUGCGUGUUCUUAACAAGAAAUUGCCGGGGGCUGGCCUGGUGGCGUAGCCUUAAGUUCACGCAGUCUGCUUCUGCGGCCGUGGGUUUGACGGUUCGAUCGUGGUGGUGGACCUACUCACCGCUCGUCAAGCCACACUGAGGAGGCGUCCAACAUAGAAGAGAUACAACUCUACAACUAUGAUACACAACUGUGUACUGGGACUUUGGGGAGAAAAAAAAGAAAAAGAGGAAUAUUGGCAGCAGAUGUUAGCACAGGGCCAAUCUUCCUCAAAAAAAGGCAAGAAAAAAAAAACAAAA